UCGGGCGGCACGCCGAAUCCUGCCCCUGGCCGACGAUUUCUCGAACCGGGCGGCAGGAACGGGGGACCCAUCUCCGAGUAUCGAAAGGAUUCGAUGCUCUCGGGGUGAAGCCAUGUGCGACGACCACCCGGAAAGGUAUUUCCGGUGCGGCUUCCGUCUCCAGGGAUCCCUGGCACGGCCGGGCAGUUCCCAGCCCGAAUCCGACAGCUCACCUCGCAGGCGUGGGGAAGGACCA
rnacentral:sRNA from 2 species